CUUUUACACUUGAUGUCAUUUGUUGAUGCUAUCCUGCAGCAAAUUUGGCUUAUAAAAAAACACAUACACUAUGUAUGUGUGACUGAUAAUGUUAGACAUU